CUACGGGUGGCUCCAGUGAGGAAUAUUGCACAAUGGGGGGAACCCUGAUGCGGCAACGCCGCGUGGAGGAUGACGCAUUUCGGUGUGUAAACUCCUUUUAUAUGUCAGGAAAAUGACGGUAGCAUAUGAAUAAGCACCGGCUAACUCCGUGCCAGCAGCCGCGGUAAUACGGAGGGUGCAAGCGUUACUCGGAAUCACUGGGCGUAAAGGACGCGUAGGCGGGUUGGAAAGUCAGGUGUGAAAUCCUACAGCUUAACUGUAGAACUGCACUUGAAACUUCUAAUCUAGAGUAUGGGAGGGGGAGAUGGAAUUAGUGGUGUAGGGGUAAAAUCCGUAGAUAUCACUAGGAAUACCUAAAGCGAAGGCGAUCUCCUGGAACAUUACUGACGCUAAGGCGUGAAAGCGUGGGGAGCAAACAGGAUUAGAUACCCCCGUAGUC
rnacentral:rRNA from 1 species